rnacentral:lncRNA from 1 species
AUCCAGCCUUGGAUACUUUUUAGGUAUGUGAACCUGGGUUGGGACUUGCUUCCUGGUGUGGAAGGAGAGAGGAGCUUAUUCAGCCCAGUCUGGAGUGGCAUGCUCUUCUUGGUUCAGCUGGAAGACACAGAGUUCUGAAGGGUGACCACUUUCAAGACAACUUCUUGGACUGAGUCAAAGUUUUUAAGACUAUAAAUUAUAUUUAAGUUCGAUCUGUACACUGGAGGAUAUUUUUACAAUAACAAAAUAAAGAUUCUGGAAAUAUGAUGAAUUAGGGAAGU